UACGUAGGGUGCGAGCGUUAAUCGGAAUUACUGGGCGUAAAGGGUGCGCAGGCGGUUUUGUAAGUCAGAUGUGAAAUCCCCGGGCUUAACCUGGGAACUGCGUUUGAAACUACAAGACUAGAGUGCGGCAGAGGGGGGUGGAAUUCCAUGUGUAGCAGUGAAAUGCGUAGAGAUAUGGAAGAACAUCGAUGGCGAAGGCAACCCCCUGGGCUGACACUGACGCUCAGGCACGAAAGCGUGGGGAGCAAACAGG
rnacentral:rRNA from 1 species